rnacentral:tRNA from 1 species
GCUGGCGUAGCUCAGUUGGCAGAGCAGCUGACUUGUAAUCAGCAGGUCGGGGGUUCGAUUCCCUUCGCCAGCUCCA